GGGGGCAGCCUGAUCAGCCAUGCCGCGUGAGUGAAGAAGGCCUUCGGGUUGUAAAGCUCUUUCGGCCGGGAAGAAAUCGUAUCAGCUAAUACCUGGUGCGGAUGACGGUACCGGCAUAAGAAGCACCGGCUAACUACGUGCCAGCAGCCGCGGUAA
rnacentral:rRNA from 1 species